rnacentral:lncRNA from 1 species
GUCAGCAAGUACAUAAACUGUUGGAAUGUGGCCAAUGUCCUCCUGACUCAUGACUCAGUCACAGCUUAGCUUGUUGCUUUCUGAAUAAAUGCCAGUCAGGGCUUUAGAGUAGGAAACUUGGUCAACGAAUGCUGGACUACACACUUAGCCUUCAAGGUCAAAGCCCAAGUUUUCUUCAUGAUGAUCCUUAUAUUUAAAUCACA